ACAUGCAAGUCGAACGGUAACAGGUCUUCGGAUGCUGACGAGUGGCGAACGGGUGAGUAAUACAUCGGAACGUGCCUAGUAGUGGGGGAUAACUACUCGAAAGAGUAGCUAAUACCGCAUGAGAUCUACGGAUGAAAGCAGGGGACCUUCGGGCCUUGUGCUACUAGAGCGGCUGAUGGCAGAUUAGGUAGUUGGUGGGGUAAAGGCUUACCAAGCCUGCGAUCUGUAGCUGGUCUGAGAGGACGACCAGCCACACUGGGACUGAGACACGGGCCAGACUCCUACGGGAGGCAGCAGUGGGGAAUUUUGGACAAUGGGCGAAAGCCUGAUCCAGCAAUGCCGCGUGCAGGAUGAAGGCCCUCGGGUUGUAAACUGCUUUUGUACGGAACGAAAAGCCUGGGGCUAAUACCCCCGGGUCAUGACGGUACCGUAAGAAUAAGCACCGGCUAACUACGUGCCAGCAGCCGCGGUAAUACGUAGGGUGCAAGCGUUAAUCGGAAUUACUGGGCGUAAAGCGUGCGCAGGCGGUUUUGUAAGACAGUGGUGAAAUCCCCGGGC
rnacentral:rRNA from 1 species